rnacentral:tRNA from 2 species
GUCGGAGUGGUGGAACUGGCAGACACGCUAGAUUCAGGAUCUAGUGAGGCAACUUGUAGGGGUUCAAAUCCCCUCUCCGACA